rnacentral:tRNA from 1 species
UUAAUUUUACAAUGAAAAUGUAAUGUUUUUUUAAACUAUAUAAAUAGAAAU